UACGUAGGCAGCAAGCGUUGUUCGGAGUUACUGGGCGUAAAGAGUGUGUAGGCGGUUCGCUAAGUUUGGUGUGAAAUCUCCCGGCUUAACUGGGAGGGUGCGCCGAAAACUGGCGGGCUAGAGUGUGGGAGAGGGAAGCGGAAUUCCUGGUGUAGCGGUGAAAUGCGUAGAUAUCGGGAGGAACACCAGUGGCGAAGGCGACUACCUGGCCUGUUCUUGACGCUGAGGCGCGAAAGCUAGGGGAGCAAACGGGG
rnacentral:rRNA from 1 species